ensembl:lncRNA
UUGUUUGAUAUCCAUGAGAGCAGAGUAUUUUUUUUAACAAAAGGUUAAACAAAGACAAUUUUUCACAGCCUUCUGUGCUCAUAUUUACCAAGGGUGCCAAUAUUAGCGGAGGGCGCUGUGACUAUAGCUUAAAUGUACACACUCAGAGGAGGAAAAAGUACACUUCCUUCAAUGCUCCCUAUAAAGCCACACCCCUAAAUACACAUAGGCACGCUGCUGGGACUAUUUUACUUGAACCCCAGUGGAGGAAGAGAAGCUUUCUGAGUUGACUGGCAAGUAGACACACCUCCUUAUCCUGAUUGGUUGUCUGUUGGACAGUGCCUGGAGUUUCUCCUCCUGUACAGAGAGUAUAUAUCUAACAGUUGCUGGAAGGUUAAGAGAACUACUAUUAUAGGACAGUUAUAAUAAACCAGAUCACAGUGCUGAGUUUAGGUUGGACAUUGUUUUUGGUCAGGUAAAAAAUGAAAGCUGGUAGGACACCUCGAUCAUUAGAGACUACUUUUCCACCUUUUCAGCCAUCCUCCAAACCCUGUACAAAUUACAGAGUGAUGCUGAGGCCCACCGCCAGACAAAGCAUUCAGAGAAGUGAAAAGGUUAAUCUCGAAAAGCCACCCGCAGUUCUUAACACCGAUGCUGGCAGCUACGGCCUGGGCAUUGUAAAUCAUCGGGAACACGGGGGUUCACUGAAACCAUUAGCCUUUUGUUUGAGCUCUAAGCAAUGUUGAGAAGCGUCGUAGUCCGAGGCUUGGUUAGGUUAAAAUGAAUGCAUAACAAGCUCGUGUUCAUCAGAGCACCUCUACUAUUCUCUGCAGGUUGGAGCAAAACAAACACAUAACUUAUUACAAGCCAUCAGUGACCCUGAUUAUUACAAAAGAUCUCAGCGAAGCUCCAUUGCACUGGCGGCGCAUCGCAAUUUACAAAGGAUUUGCCGCUGUAGACACCGUGUCGAGACUGAAGGGCAUUCUAUGCUGUGUGAAAUAUGGCUGCCCAACAAAUGUCAAAACCAUUUUUCUAGAACGAGGACUGCGCAGCCAUGCGAGACAAAUUCCAGCACGGACCCCGGGUUUCACCAAGUGUCUGGAGCGUUACCAUAUUGGUGACACACUCGUUUGCUAAUACCAGGCGUUAACCAUUGCAUUGUAGCUAGUUCUUACUACAGAUGGAUGGCGAUCCUCCCUCUGACAAGAAAAAUAUUGAUCAGCUAUCUGCACUACGAGCAUAUUCCAAGCAGACUCCAAAGACCAUGGGGUAAGAAGAAAAAAGGCUAGCGAUGAGACUGGGGUCCCGGGAAAAUACUAUUCAGACGGGGUUGGAUUUCUGAACGUGGUGUAAGAUACACUGUUACUGGAUGACCUCUGUAGUAAUUAUGAUGAGCUGCCUUCACCGAUCGUCUUCACGCCCACACUAAAAAAAAUGACAUGCAUACUAGCAAACUGAUCGUUUUGGUCUAUAUUAUAAGUGCUUGUCGUAGUGUAGUGGGCGUGGCCACACAAGUUGCACAUCAUCAUCAUUAGUAGGUCACAUGACCAUAAGUUACAUGUUCUCUGACACAUCCUUUUGAAAGUGGCCUGUAUUUAAUCAUUCUAUACUCUAAACUCGGACAAUACUCUGUUUCGUUUAGGUUUCCGCAGGAGAUGAUGGAAAAGAGUACUUCCCAGAGUGUCUUCAUACUGAAGGAAAAGCACAGAACCUCUUUCCCCCGCCCAGGAGAUAACGGAAGCUGUACCGGCGUGUCAGUUCAGACAUGAUACACACUCACCGAGUUCUGCCAGAGGUCCAAAGUAAGGUACCAGAGGAACCAACCUUAACCUUCAUUUUCUUAAAGACAUCGAUCAUAAUCCAGUCUCUUUACGGCUUUACGGCUGCAGUGGUAUGGAUUAAAGGUAUCGCAGAAGUGACUUCAGGUAUCUGCGUCCGUUCGAUCUACCCAACACUCACCUCAGCAUUAAAAGUGGUGCUAACUAUUCGAUCAGCACACUAGUGAGAGCUCUAUCCAAUUAAUUACAGCAAUCACUUCAGGGAAGCAGCAGCAGCAGCCCACAACUAACGAACGGACACGGCCAAAUCGGUGCGAGUCGCAGCCAAAGCAGAGGGAAGCAGAUGGAGGGAUGCAGAGACAUGAGUGCCGGGGAAAAGGAUGAGCACGAGGCGAACUGUGGAGCACGCGCAGGUGUUUGGCUCAUAAUGUGGGCCAGGAUGGUUGUUAAGGUGUUAAGAGAGUUGAGUCGAUCGGGGCGUAAUUUCUUCCUUCUGUCUCUGUCCGUAGUUAUAGCCAUUAAUCAGCCCGUUCCCACAAGCAUAAAAGAGCUGAUUAUCUAACCAAAAAAAAAACCCAGCACAAUCAGCUGGGCUAGGCAUAUCAACACACGUGCACGUGUGUGCGUGAACACCUUUUUCUUGAAAAUUUGGAGGCUAAAGCUUGCUAAAUGAGUUUCUAAUGACGGAGCACAUUGCGUAAAUCUGCACAGGUUGAGGCCAAUGCUGAACGGGAAUAAAAAAAUAAUAAUAGAAGGUUGAAAAAUUGCUUAAUGGGGCUUAUUUUCACUUGAUAAACAGAAAAAUGAAGGCUAUUUUUUAACACCGCUGGAGGCGGUCUGUCUGUCUGUCUCUCUCUGUUUUCUUCCAUCUCUUCUUUCAUCCGUCUUCCCACCUUCCCUGUUGAUAGAAGAAGCUCCUCGCAGGAUGCAUCGGCCGUCAACGGAUAAUGACCAAAAACACAAUAAGGGACCUCAGAGGGGAUCAUAGAUGGAGAAGGAGGAGAUAAGGUGCUUAAGAUAAUUCGUAUUUCCCUCAAUCUGUGGCAGAUUAAUGGCUAUGGCUUUAGCUGUUUUCUGCCUGAAUAUUACAUUAGCGAUACACUCUUCACGUACCUGCUUCACUCUCUGCAUAGACAGUGCCUUUGGGGGGUGUGUGUGUGUGUGUGUUUCUGACAGUCUGAAAGCUGACACUGAGCAUACCAAUAGAGAAAAUGAUACGAUCGCAUAUUGAGUCAUGAGACGAGAGAGCCUGGUAAGUAAACAGCAAUUUACAAUGGCCAAUACGUGGCCUCUGGCAGCCAAUAAAGCGGCACUGAAAGUAUGAUGUUUAUUGAAAAACAUGAGCUUAUUUUCAGUUGUCACGGAUUUUACUGAGGAGGAGUGCUCUGCCUUAUUGAGAGCCUGCGCUAUCAGUGAUCAAUCUGUUUUACUUCUGCCACAGACAGUGGAAUAAGUGCUGCAGAAACUGAAUUACAAAUCCA